AUAGCAGGAUUUGGCAUAUCACACAUUUCAUUUGAACAGAUCCAUUUCAGUUGGUUAAAGUCUGAAAAUAAUAAAAUUAUCUGUGCCAUGUGUCAUUUCCAGGAAAAAGAUCGCCCUUAAAAAACUUGUGUACAUGAUGCGGACAGUAUCAUCAAACUCUAUUUAGGAUGGACUACCUUACAUGGGAUCAAGUGCAGGCACCAAUGUCUCCACCAUCAGCAUCAACAUCACUAAUGAGAUGACCAUCAUUUAUCCACCCACUUUUGCUGCCAUUGGUCUUGUGCCCUUCAACAUUAACCCUCACUAUCUGGAUGCUGAUCCCAACAGCACACAUAUGGGGGUAUGUGCAGCUAAUCAUACACAAAACAACUCCAAAUAAGCUCUCUGCUGCUUUGAAACAAUAUUUAUGUGAAAAGCACUAUACAAAUGAACCUGACUUGACUUAAUAAAGCAAACGUUUAAGAUACGUUCUUAAGUUUUUUUAGGUGCCCCUUAUGAUUACAUUUUUCAUAAAUGCAGAUUUGAUUUAGCAUUUUACAGGAAAUGCGCAAGCAGAGAAUUAUCCAGUUUCACAAGGAGCCGGACACACCAUGUGUCCUGUGUCUUAGGGAAGGAUGCAUGCUCUUAGUGGAGGGAAUCAAGGUCACCCUACUAGGGUGCACCAAAAUAAGACUAUUCCAGAGGUAAUGUGGAGAUUCCCGCUCAUGCACACAUGCAAAAUAUGCAGAGAGAAAAUAAUAAUGCCGAAGAGUGCACAGUAAAUAACAAUGUUUGUUGAUUUCUUUCUCAGGGGGAAGCAAACCACAGAAUAUGAACCGGGCAGUGAUCUGAGCUUCUUACUGACAGAUGCACAAAAGACAUCAUUGUAAUAAUGUACAAUGCAUACAAACUUUAGUUUUUACAAUAAAUUAUAAAAUCCAAUGUAAAUUUAAAAACUCUUCAUUGUACAUGUGUUUAAGGCAAUCAUAGAAAUUAAAGGGAUAAUUCACCCAAAAAUGAAAAUCUCUCAUCU